UACAGAGGUCCCAAGCGUUGUUCGGAUUCAUUGGGCGUAAAGGGUGCGUAGGUGGCGCGCUAAGUCGGGUGUGAAAUUUCGGAGCUUAACUCCGAAACUGCAUUCGAUACUGGUGUGCUUGAGGACUGGAGAGGAGACUGGAAUUCAUGGUGUAGCAGUGAAAUGCGUAGAGAUCAUGAGGAAGACCAGUGGCGAAGGCGGGUCUCUGGACAGUUCCUGACACUGAGGCACGAAGGCCAGGGGAGCGAACGGG
rnacentral:rRNA from 1 species